AUGCGCCUGGCCAUCCUCCCGUUGCUGGUGGUACACUUUAUCCUGAGAGACACCAGAGCUCAGUCAGUGACUCAGCCUGAUGCUCAAGUCACUGUCUCUAAAGACGCCUCUCUGCAGAUAAGAUGCAACUAUUCCUCCUCUGUGCCACCUCGCCUGUUCUGGUAUGUCCAGUACCCAUGGCAGGGGCUGCAGCUUCUUCUCAGCUACUACUCAGGAGACCCAGUGGUUCACGGCAUGAACGGUUUUGAGGCUGAGUUUAGCAAGAGGGACUCUUCCUUCCACCUGAGGAAAGCCCCUGUGCACUGGAGCGACUCGGCUGUGUACUUCUGUGCUCUGAGCGCACAGUGUCUGGGGCUGCAGGGGGAGUUGAACACAAACACCCAUGGCAGUGGGUGCUCAGACUCACGGUCUCUCUUUGUGGUCUUUGAAGCAUCUCUUUCUGUGGCUCUGCUUCUUUCUGGGAUGCCUGGACACCACCGGUAG